CCUGAUCCAGCCAUGCCGCGUGGGUGAAGAAGGCCUUCGGGUUGUAAAGCCCUUUAGGUGGGGAGGAAGGCAUUCAUGCUAAUACCAUGGAUGAUUGACGUUACCCACAGAAUAAGCACCGGCUAACUCCGUGCCAGCAGCCGCGGUAAUACGGAGGGUGCAAGCGUUAAUCGGAAUUACUGGGCGUAAAGCGCACGUAGGCGGUUUGACAAGUGGGAUGUGAAAGCCCUGGGGCUCAACCUGGGAACUGCAUCCCAAACUGUCAGGCUAGAGUAUGGUAGAGGGGGGCGGAAUUCCCGGUGUAGCGGUGAAAUGCGUAGAGAUCGGGAGGAACAUCAGUGGCGAAGGCGGCCCCCUGGACUGAUACUGACGCUGAGGUGCGAAAGCGUGGGGAUCAAACAGGAUUAGAUACCCUGGUAGUCCACGCUGUAAACGAUGAGAACUGGCCGUCGGGCCCUUCGGGGUUUGGUGGCGUAGCUAACGCGCUAAGUUCUCCGCCUGGGGAGUACGGCCGCAAGGCUAAAACUCAAAUGAAUUGACGGGGGC
rnacentral:rRNA from 1 species